UCCUGAUAAAUAACUUCAGUUUCUUCAUAAUGAAGAUGGGUAGCAUCAUAAUGCUUGCUUUAUAACAGCUCAGGUUGCAGAUUCACACACCCUGGUUUUAAACUCCAGCCCUGGCGCAGACAUGCUGCCUGACCUUGGAAAAGUCACUUGACAUCUUUGAACCUGAGCUUGUUCAACAGAAAAAGAGAACUCAUAUCACCUUGCUCAUGGACCUGUGAUUGAUUUUGCAAGGGAUUAAACAAGGUAUGUUCCAGGUUGAAUGGCUCUCCUUCAGGUGGGCUCCUUCUAUCUUGUGGCUUCAUUUUCUUCGGGGGAAUCUCCCAGUGCCAAUCUCUGAAAAGGCUGCAAGACUCUGAAACAGAUCUCCCUAGAAAUCCCACCUGGAAGGACAGUAAGUAGACCUUUGACAUUUAAGAAGUAUAUGCCCUAAGAUUUCUGCAGAUCCUGAAAUUCAUCACUACGGCAGAAUCAUACAUCUUAUGGUGAGUCAAUGAUGACUAAUGUAUCAGAGGCAUUUACUGAUCAUUGAAUAUCAAUGUGUUCCCUCCACUUUUUCCACUACCUUUAAGUUAGACUGGAUGGUGUGAACACAUUAUCUGGCCAAUGGCUAUGAUUGGAAGUCAUGUGUCUCUGUGAUGGGCUGAGCACUAAAGAACUACAUUGAAACUCUCUCACUUUCUCUUUUGCUGUCAUGGAGAAAGGGAUCAUGAAAUCACAGGAGGGAAAAUAGCUUAGAUCUCUGCGUCACCGAAAAUAAAUUCCUUACAGAGCCAAUGACCCCACAAUAAAUACUAUGUGAGUGAAAAAUAAACUUUUAUGCCUGUUACUGCCUCAAAGCUAGCCUAACCUGACUAAUCCAAAUACCGUAAUAAAAACUAUCCUAUGCAACAUUUCAUAAUAAACAGCACAAAUUCGUAAGCCUGUUUGUGAGAACACUCCUCUGUGUCUACUGAUGCCAUUGUAACAAAAUAGUAAUGUGGGGGGUAGCCAGGUUUCUACCAGAUCUGAUUCCAUGUAUGGAGAAAAUUUUGAUAUGAUUUGGCUUUGUGUUCCACCCAAAUCUCAUCUCGAAUUGUAAUCCUCGUGUGUCAAGGGAGGGGCCUGGUGGGAGGUGACUGGAUCAUGUGGGUGGUUUCUCACUGCUGUGUUCAUGAUACUGAGUGAGUUCCCAUGAAAUCUGAUAGUUUAAAAGUGUGUGGAAGUUCCCCCACCACCUCCUGCUGCUACGUAAGACAUGCUUUUCUUCCUCUUUGCCUUCUGCCAUGAUUGUAAGUUUCCUCAGGCCUCC